rnacentral:misc_RNA from 1 species
UCUCCGUUGGUGAACCAGCGGAGGGAUCAUUACAGGACUCGCAAGACUCCUACAACCCUGUGAACUUAACUAUAAGCACGUUGCUUCGGCGUGGGUCUCGGAGGGGGUUCUCCCUCCCCGGGACGCUAAACCCGCCGGCGGCCUACUUUACUCUGUCUCUUUUCGUUGGCAUCUCGAGUACAAUCAAACAAGUUAAAACUUUCAACAACGGAUCUCUUGGUUCUG